rnacentral:lncRNA from 1 species
CUUGCAUAUAUCUUAGAAUGCNCAAGUAUUUUUUCAAGGAAAACAAAAUUUUGCAGAUAUGCUAAGUCCUGCUGUCCUGGAUCCAGAAGGGCCUACAUAUGUGAAGCUAGAAGCUUCCUUUCCCUACAUGAUUCCCAUGCAUGUUUUGUAUUUUUCUUAGUAUGUUCAUAUUUAUACAUAACAUUUUAGGGAAAUUUUACAUAAAUGAUACCUUCUGAAAACUAACUUUUGCAGCUUGCCUUUUCAUUCAACAUUAUACAGAUUUAUUUGACAGAUCAUUCACUUUUUAAAAAUAUUUUUUUAAAUAUUUAUUUUUUAUUUGUAGUCAGACACAAUACCUUUAUUUUGUUUAUUUAUAUGUUGUGCCGAGGAUCGAACCCAGGGCCUUUCAUGCUAGGUGAGCGCUCUACCGCUGAGCCACAACCCCAGCCCAGAUCAUCAUUUUAAACAUGGCAUUUUAUUCAAAGUAUGCAAGUAUACUUCACUAAGGGACAAUUUGAUUCAUUUGUUUGCUUAAUUUAUUUUUUUUUACUCUUAACAAUUUUUUUGAAAGUAUCCUUAUUUCUAGUUUUGUGUGCAUUUAUAUAAGAGCUUCCUUGGAUUGACACUUGCAGUAGAAUUGCUAGGGGAUCAGAACAUGUUUGUUCUAGAUGUUUGUUGCUACAGUAUAGGAUAUUUGUAAAUUUUCUUGAAGAAACUUCUAAAAGCUCUAUUUGUAGUUUUAUGAGUGUGUCUGUAUAUUUUGUAGAAUUUUUCACAUGAUUGCAUUAUCUACAAAUAAUAGACUUUUUCUUUUUUAGUUGUUAUGCCUUUAAUUCUUAUUGCUUUGUUAAGACUGCCUGUGUAAUGUUGGAUAGUGGUAACAUAGAAAACAUUUUUCUCUUGUUACUGACUUUAAAGGCAAUACCUCAGGUGUUUCAUUAUUAAAUUAUGAAUAAGCAUGGUGUUUUUUUCCUAUUCCCUGCCUUUUAGAUUAGAUCACUUCAUUUGUUUUAAUCCCAUUCCCCCCUUAUUGGCU